rnacentral:rRNA from 1 species
AUUGAACGCUGGCGGCAGGCCUAACACAUGCAAGUCGCACGAGUGGCGGACGGGUGAGUAAUGUCUGGGAAACUGCACUAUGGAGGGGGAUAACUACUGGAAACGGUAGCUAAUACCGCAUACCAUCGGAUGUGCCCAGAUGGGCUUAGCUUUUAGGUGAGGUAACGGCUCACCUAGGCGAAGAUCCCUAGCUGGUCUGAGAGGAUGACCAGCCACACUGGAACGGAGACACGGUCCAGACUCCGACGGGAGGCAGCAGGGGGGAAUAUUGCACACUGGGCGCAAGCCUGAUGCAGCCAUGCCGCGUGUAUGAAGAAGGCCUUCGGGUUGUAAAGUACUUUCAGCGGGGAGGCGUUACCCGCAGAAGAAGCACCGGCUAACUCCGUGCCAGCAGCCGCGGUAAUAC